rnacentral:rRNA from 1 species
UACGGAGGGGGCUAGCGUUUGUUCGGAAUUACUGGGCGUAAAGCGCACGUAGGCGGCUUUGUAAGCUAGAGGUGAAAGCCCGGGGGCUCAACCCCCGGAAUUGCCUUUAAGACUGCAUCGCUAGAAUUGUGGAGAGGUAAGUGGAAUUCCGAGUGUAGAGGUGAAAUUCGUAGAUAUUCGGAAGAACACCAGUGGCGAAGGCGACUUACUGGACACAUAUUGACGCUGAGGUGCGAAAGCGUGGGGAGCAAACAGG